UGCUUUUCCCCGCACAGCUGCUCUGGAGUCGUGGAGAAAAGCCGAGCCCGGCGUGUGUGCCCCUUCCACGAUCCCCGUUCCAACAUCGCGCGCACUCCCUGCUCUGUGUGACACAUCUCCUAAGCUUGUUGCAAUGCCCAGAUGCAGAGGUGUCUGCAAUCAUAGAGGUCACCCCUUGACUGCAGCACACUGUCAUUGUCUUUGAGGAUUGUGUGGUCUCAUGGACUAGACAGCUGGGAAGCGCACCACAAUAAGCUGACUAACUCCUUCUGCCACCUGGGAUCUUGGUGCAGAAGACAGGUUAUAAAACACUGAGUUACAAACCUUGCUGUGGAGGAGUGGGAAAUGGAAGCUAAUUGCAUUUACAUGCAGAAGCACAAAGGAAGGAAGAGGCAUCAGACUCCAUGUUAAAUGGGGAGGCCUGGAAAUAAGUCUCUGUCUGUGGAACAAGCCUGCAUCUUAAGAAAUGAAGAUAAGGUGCUAUGCAGAGCAGGCUUAUUAAAUGUUGAAGCAAUACUUGCAGUAAUAUAAUGUACCAGCCAUUCUUUCCAGGAAAUUAGUCUGCCAGCUGGAGCAGCCGCUGGAUCCACAGCUCCCCACCUGAGGACAAAGUGGGACUGCUGGAGAAAAUCAUUGGAUUCUCAGCAUUUUCACUGGCAGUUCUUGGACCAGCUGGAUGGUUCCUGUGCCACCUUUCAAGCUAUAAAAAGAAAUAGAAAAAAAAUCCCUUUAAAAUUAAGAUCUGAAGGCUGCAAUAAACUAUAAUACUCCCAACUUGGACCCUCUUGAAAGUCCCAGUUCACACUCUAUCACCCAUCCCAUGGGCCAGGUCCCAGAAAGCUUUUGCAGAUACUGUAGAAUUGGACCCAGAGAUACAAUGGUGUAACAAUACCAAAUGGUGUCAGGCCUAGUCCGCCAUCACCUGCUGCAUUGGAGCAGCCUGAAUCUGUCAUCAGGUACUGCAAGAAAUGGAAGAUUGAUGAGGAGGACUGUAAACACGCUCAAGUGACUUGCAGUUUGGCUGUUGAAAAACACAUGUAUCAUACUAAUUGUUGUUUGACCUUGUGUUUUAGACAAGUAGAGCAUCUGUGUCUAGGAAACAUAGGCCCAUGGUAGCCUUAGAGGCACCCUAUCUAACAUGCUUGAGAAUCCUGCCCUCCUGUGGGCAAGAUUAAAGCACAGUGGUAAAUUGUACUUGUGUGAAUCCUUGAAAUAGGAAAAAAUAGCAGGUUUGCUGAUCCUCCACCAUGGGCCAAGCUUUGCAGUGCCUAUGUUCCCACUUGUGUGCCUCUUCUGUCUGCUGCUUUGGUGAUCCCUGGUUGGUGAGGUAACAAAAAUGAGUUUACUCUUUGUGUUUCAUCCAUGGUUUUGUCAUUGUUCCUGUGUCCUGUCUGCUCCAUCUCAUACAGGUACCAUCAAAACUUUGAAGCAAAUAAAUGGGAAAAAAAAUACAGAAAAAAAAAAAUUAUAGCCAUCUCAGACUAAAACUCUGAGAAUUUAAGACAAUUUUCUUGAGAGUGUCUCUUUAAUCUUUACAUGUGUUCUUUUGGUGUGUUCCCCCACCCAAUUUACUCUUCCAUCAGAAUAAAUGCUUUUCUGCAGGUCAUGAUUGUAAGAUACUUCAAUUUAUUUUCAAUUUUUAGAUUAAGAUCUUUGACCUUUGAGAGAUUCUUGCAUGAUUGCUAUUUGCAAUUAAUAUGAUAAAAACUUUGAAGUCUAGACUAAUUUUGAGAAAAGUACUAUAAAUAAUAUUUUUAUGCCACAUAACAUGUGAUAAAGGAAUGUCUUCUAAUGAUUUCAUGUCUGUCUUGCAGAAAAACCCAGAAUAUGAAGCUUUUGUGAUGUUAAAGGAUCAGUUGUGAUGCUUAAGUAUUAGCAGAAUAUAAUUUAUAAUUCCAUUAAGUCAUUUGUAAUAUCUAAUAUCAAACAGUUUCUGAAAGUAGGGCUGUGAAUGUGUGAAAGUAUAUAAUCUUGCUGUACGUCUCAAGUAUGAUUUACAAAUAAAUUGUCAUGAGUUCCCUUCAGCCUUGGAACCAUGACUGAAGUUUUCAGAGUGAGAGUGGAGACAUUCAUGCUGAGUGUUUAAAGAAACUCAUACUUCUUUAUUUUUUUCCAAGAAAUGAUAGCUUUGUCCCUUAGUUGAAGAGUCUGAUGUGAAAGCCCAGUUGUGUAUGUGGAAAGUUUCCCACAGAUUUGGAUGAGUGUUGGAUAUGUGCCUGCAGUCCUGGUAUCCAGAGAAAAAACAAUGCCAGUAACUGAAAGGCACUUGGACAAGCAAUCUGAAGCUUUGCUCCUGCGCACUGUGAGUGCAUCCUUUGGAAUCAUAAGGCUAUUUUGCAGAAUUUGUUGUAAAAAUCAGGUUUGAACAUUUCAGUGUAUCUGCUUGUCCUGUAUCUGAU